rnacentral:sRNA from 1 species
CAUUUGAUGUUGAUUCGGGCCCCUCUCAGUGCUGCAGAGCCCUCCUAAGAGAACUUCUCCUACUUCUCUUAGCCCCACACCCAGCCUGCCUUGGUUGGAGGAGAAGGAAGCGCAAACGCAGAUACUACCUGCAUGGUCCUGCCAGGAGGCCCCACCCUGGCCCUGGGGCCUUCUGUUUGCCUGUCACUCGCUGUCGAUGCUACCUUCUCUCACCAGUGCUUUGGGUCCUUCCCCGCACAGGGCCCAGCAUAGCCCUUCUCUUCCACCUAGCAGAUUCCAGCACAUUCUUUUCUUUUUUUUUUUUUUUUUUUGUCUUGAGACGGAGUCUCAGUUGUUGCCCAUGUUAGAGUGCCGUGGCAUGAUGUCAGCUCACUGCAACCUCCUCCUUCUGGGUCCAAGAGAUUGUUUUGCCUCAGCCUCCCGAGUAGCUGCGAUUACAGGCACACGCCACCAUGCCUGGCUAAUUUUUGUAUUUUUAGUAGAGAUGGGGUUUCACCAUGUUAGCCAGGCUGGUCUCGAACUCCUGACAUUGUGAUCCACCUGCCUGGCUUCCCAAAGCACUGGGAUUACAGGCAUGAGCCUCCGCAUCUGGCCUCCAGCACAUUCUUUAGCUCUUGACUUGGAUGACUCUUGACCUGGGAGGCUGCCUCGACACGUGGAGAUUGGUGUCUCCUGUUAGUUUCUAUGCCUCUUUUCCUCAUGAAACAUUAGUCAUGAUGGUAUUUCUGUGAUUUUUUUUUUUUUUUUUUUUUUUUUUUUGAGAUGGAGUUUCCCUCUUGUUACCCAGGCUGCUGUGCAGUGGCACGAUCUCCGCUCACUGCAGCCUCUGCCUCCCGGGUUCACACCAUUCUCCUGCCUCAGCCUCCCGAGUAGCUGGGACUGCAGGCACCUGCCACCUCGCCCAGCUGAUUUAUUGUCUUUUUAGUAGAGACAGUUUCACCAUGUUAGCCAGGAUAGUCUCAAUCUCCUGACCUCGUGAUCCGCCCGCCUCAGCUUCCCAAAGUGCUGGGAUUACAGGAGUGAGCCACCAUCCCCGGCCCUGUUUCUGUGAUUAUCUUGCAUUGUCAUUGUCCCCCCAGGCCUGUCUCUUUCACUGUGGCAUGCAUUGUCUAGGGUAGAUGCUUGUUAGAUAUUUUAUGACUUGCUCUCUUUUUCAACAGGACAAAUUGAUGGCCAGGAGAUCACUGCCACCGCCGUGCUGGCCCCCUGGCCUAGGCCACCCCCCAGGAGAUUCAGCCCUCCCAGGAGAAUGUUGCCACCACCGCCUAUGUGGCGCAGGUCUCCCCCACGGAUGAGGAGAAGGUCCCGCUCCCCGAGGCGCAGGUCCCCCGUGCGCCGGAGAUCACGGUCCCCGGGCCGCCGCCGCCACAGGAGUCGCUCCAGCUCCAACUCCUCCCGAUAAACAGGCCACUGAAGUUCUCGCCCCUGUAACUUAUACCCCACCCAACUCAGUUUUGUCACUUUUCUAGCCAAAGGAAGAUCAGUAGGAAAGCAAACCCUUUACUCUGACAGGAUUUGCAGGCAGCAGUCAGCACCCCUCUGCCAGCCAGGCUUUGGCUGCAGAAGUGCUGUUGGUUUGGAUGCUGUGUGCCUGUCAAGAUUCCCUCCGGUUUUCUGGCUAGAAAGCUCACCCGUUUCCAGUUUCUAAGAGUCAGUUCAGUGGCAGAGCCACCAGGGACAAGUGAGGCUCUUGGGGGUGGUUUGACCCUGCUUACCUGGGAGCACACUUUUCCCUUCCCUGAUGAUCUGAGAUGGUGGCCAGGCCAGGCCAUGCCAUUGCUGUCGCUGGGCAGUGUCCUUUUGGAAAGGGAGCCGCCCCAGGUAGCUGCCAACCCUGUUAGGCCCAGCCUCUCGAGGCCUCUUCUGACUUCAAGGGUCACACACCCCCAAAGAUCCUCUCACCCAUGGUAGUUGCGCAUGGUUCUGUCUGUCCGUGCACCCAUGCACACACCCCACCCCACCACUCUACUCUGAAAUUGGUUUGGUGAGUGAGUUGAGAGCCAGCUCUACGGGGUCAUCACGCAGCCAUGGUUGUGCCUGCCCUUCAUGGUGGUCUUUCAGGUUAUCUUGGCAACAUGUACAUUGCUUUUAUUUUUUUUCUUUUUUGCUUUUAUUGUACAGUCAGUACUAUAAAAUUUCUCUUUGAGUUUUAUACCUUUGUAGCAUUUUAGAUGACAUUGUGUUUGUACUUUGUUGUGUAGAGUGAAAGAAUUGUGUUGAAUAAACCCAAGAUUGGAAUGC